CCCUUAGAUGUCCUGGGCUGCACGCGCGCUACACUGGAAGUUACGGAUUGAGAUACUACCUUGUCCGAAAUGGUCCGGGUAAUCACCUAAAAGCUUGUCAUAAUUGGAAUGGAUUAUUGUAACUAGUAAUCCUGAACGAGGAAUUCCUAGUAAGUCCCAGUCAACAGCUGGUACUGAUUACGUCCCUGCCCUUUGUACACACCGCCCGUCGCUACUACUGAUUGGACGUUUAAGCAAGAUUUUUAAACACUGACAGUGUGUAGUUCACGCUAUACUACAGUGAGAAGAAGAGGAUCGAGCUUACUUGUCUAGAGGAAGUAAAAGUCGUAACA
rnacentral:rRNA from 1 species